ACAUGAUUGCGAACCAAGUCGAAGUCCAGAGCUCCUCUUGUAAAUCAAGCUGGUCAAGAAGCAAGUUGCAAACGACAUACUCAUAUCCAGCAUACCGACAAAAAUUUAUUGGGCCGUAGAAAAAAGAUGCCCAGCGCAGCUCGCUCUUCGAUGGACAAGCUCAAUUCGU
rnacentral:sRNA from 15 species